rnacentral:rRNA from 1 species
GUCUACUUGGAGAUAUAAGUAGUCUGGCCUGCUCACUGAUAAAAUUAUUUAAGAGCCGCGGUAUAUUGACCGUGCAAAGGUAGCAUAAUCAUUAGAGGUUUAAUUGAAAUCUGGUAUGAAUGGUUGGACAAAAAAAGGACUGUCUUUGUAGUAUAGUUUGAAAUUUACAUUUAAGUGAAAAGGCUUAAAUAAGUCAGGGGGACGAUAAGACCCUAUAAAGCUUUAUAAAUAAGUUAAAUUUAACUAAGUUAAAUGAUAAAAGUUAAGUGUAAAUAUUUUAUUUUGUUGGGGUGAUGUGAGUAUAAUUAUAAUAACUGCUUAAAAAUUAUUCUGUAAUAAAAGAAUUAAUUAAAUUAAUGAUCCUUGGAUAAAGAUUAAAAGACAAAGUUACUUUAGGGGUAACAGCGUUAUUUCUUUAGAGAGUUCUUAUCGAAAAAGAAGAUUGCGACCUCGAUGUUGAAUUAAAAUGUCUAUAUAAUGCAGCUGUUAUAAAAGAGGGUCUGUUCGACCUUUAAAUUUUU